rnacentral:rRNA from 1 species
CUGGGGGAUAACACUUAGAAAUAGGUGCUAAUACCGCAUAAGCGCACAGCUUCGCAUGAAGCAGUGUGAAAAACUGAGGUGGUAUACGAUGGUUCCGCGUCUGAUUAGCUAGUUGGUGGGGUAAAAGCCUACCAAGGCGACGAUCAGUAGCCGGCCUGAGAGGGUGAACGGCCACAUUGGGACUGAGACACGGCCCAAACUCCUACGGGAGGCAGCAGUGGGGAAUAUUGCACAAUGGGGGAAACCCUGAUGCAGCGACGCCGCGUGAGUGAAGAAGUAUUUCGGUAUGUAAAGCUCUAUCAGCAGGGAAGAAAUACUGACCAUAGGGUCAGCAGACGGUACUUGACUAAGAAGCCCCGGCUAACUACGUGCCAGCAGCCGCGGUAAUACGUAGGGGGCAAGCGUUAUCCGGAUUUACUGGGUGUAAAGGGAGCGUAGACGGCAGCGCAAGUCUGAAGUGAAAUGCCAGGGCUUAACCCUGGAACUGCUUUGGAAACUGUGCAGCUAGAGUGCAGGAGAGGUAAGUGGAAUUUCUAGUGUAGCGGUGAAAUGCGUAGAUAUUAGGAGGAACACCAGUGGCGAAGGCGGCUUACUGGACUGUAACUGACGUUGAGGCUCGAAAGCGUGGGGAGCAAACAGGAUUAGAUACCCUGGUAGUCCACGCUGAAACGAUGAUUACUAGGUGUUGGGGGACCAAGGUUCUUCGGUGCCGUCG